GAUGAACGCUGGCGGCGUGCCUAAUACAUGCAAGUCGAGCGAACGGACGAGAAGCUUGCUUCUCUGAUGUUAGCGGCGGACGGGUGAGUAACACGUGGAUAACCUACCCAUAAGACUGGGAUAACUUCGGGAAACCGGAGCUAAUACCGGAUAAUAUUUUGAACCGCAUGGUUCAAAAGUGAAAGACGGUCUUGCUGUCACUUAUAGAUGGAUCCGCGCUGCAUUAGCUAGUUGGUAAGGUAACGGCUUACCAAGGCAACGAAGCAUAGCCCACCUGAGGGGGGGGUCGGCCACAUCGGAACUGGGACACGGUCCCGACGCCUACGGGAGGCAGCAGUCGGGAAUCUUCCGCAAUGGGCGAAAGCCUGACGGAGCAACGCCGCGUGAGUGAUGAAGGUCUUCGGAUCGUAAAACUCUGUUAUUAGGGAAGAACAUAUGUGUAAGUAACUGUGCACAUCUUGACGGUACCUAAUCAGAAAGCCACGGCUAACUACGUG
rnacentral:rRNA from 1 species